CCAGAGCAGCAUCAGUGAGCAGUCACGGGUGAGGGGCUCCAGUAACCGAAGAGCGGCUCAGCCAGGAGCGAGAGUCAGCCAGACACAGGAGUGCACCUGCAUCCUCUGCAGCUGCCAUUGUGUGGGGCUUCUGGAGGAUGGGGACCCUGAUCUCUCAGCUCCACCCCCCCACCACGCCCUGGCCUUGAAGCAAACAUUACCAGGUGCACCCAGCAAGGCUGGUAUCGUCUUUGGAUUCUCUUUAUAACGCUAUGGGAAUAUAGGAAGAUAGAGCUCUAAGUGGAGGGUAAUCUUUGGGUGUUGGAAGUGGAGCCGCUCCCCUGCAAAGCCGCCCUCAGCAUCCCAGGGAUCACCACAAGCCCCACUACCUGGUGCCCAGAAAGACACAGGACACCCUUGGAGUGGAGAACUUGACCUCUUUGCUGCCCUCGGACUUGGUGCAGGGUAGCCGGCGGCAGGUGCCGUGGAUGGGGCUGCGCAGCAGCGAUGGUGCCGUUUACUCUGCCCCUUUUACCGCCAAGGUUCUUCGUGUGAUGCUGUCUGCUGGUCCCAAAGGAGCUGUGUUUGCCAUCCCUGACCAGAGCGUCGUCAGAGCCUGCUGCAGCCGGGAGCUGUGCUUGCCUAAGAGCCAGGAGCAACUGGUCCCAAGUGGGCAUUACAGGGUUAACUCGUGUAUCUGGCCAAGGCAUGGAAUCAAAGUAGGAUGAAUCACCUCUUGUGCAUUUCUUAUUUCAGCCCUCCUGCCACUUUAGCAGUUUCUAAUGUUUAAUUUCCUUGUUUCAUUCCACAGACAGAGAAUGCUGAUUCACCCUGCAGUGGAGCAUGCCUAACGUGUCAACAGCUAAAGGGCCAGUGACAGUGUGGUUGUCUGGGCAACGGAAGAAGUCACCCACACAGUCACUUAAAGGUGAGCUGUGAGAGUUAAGCACGCGGGAGCUUUUCACUGAGUGA
rnacentral:lncRNA from 1 species